AUGUCCAUCCCUACAACAUAGCAUUAAUACACUAGAUCCCAUUAGUACUUCAUAGUUAAGCCUGCUCAGGCUGGACUAGUACUCGGAUGGGUGACUUCUUGGGAAGACCUAGUGGUUUACAUG
rfam:Picea glauca, whole genome shotgun sequence.